UACGUAGGGUGCGAGCGUUGUCCGGAAUUACUGGGCGUAAAGAGCUCGUAGGUGGUUUGUCGCGUUGUUCGUGAAAACUCACAACUCAAUUGUGGGCGUGCGGGCGAUACGGGCAGACUGGAGUACUGCAGGGGAGACUGGAAUUCCUGGUGUAGCGGUGAAAUGCGCAGAUAUCAGGAGGAACACCAAUGGCGAAGGCAGCUCGCUGGAACGGUACUGACGCUGAGGCGCGAAAGCGUGGGGAGCAAACAGG
rnacentral:rRNA from 1 species